GGGUGCCCCUGGUGGUCGUGGUUUCCCUGGUUCUGAUGGCGCUGCUGGACCCAAAGGUGCCACUGGCGAGCGCGGUGCCCCCGGUCUUGUUGGACCUAAAGGUUCUACCGGUGAGCCUGGUUUGCCCGGAGCUAAGGGUAUGACUGGUAGCCCUGGACCUGAUGGCAAGAUGGGACCUGCUGGAGCCGCUGGACAAGAUGGCCGCCCCGGACCCCCUGGCACCGAUGGAGCAAGAGGCCUGCCUGGAGUCAUGGGAUUCCACGGACCCAAGGGAGCUGCUGGUGACGCUGGAAAACCUGGCGAGAGG